CGAACGCUGGCGGCGUGCUUACCACAUGCACGUCGCACGGAAAGGCCCUGCUUUUGUGGGGUGCUCGAGUGGCGAACGGGUGAGUAACACGUGAGUAACCUGCCCUUGACUUUGGGAUAACUUCAGGAAACUGGGGCUAAUACCGGAUAGGAGCUCCUGCUGCAUGGUGGGGGUUGGAAAGUUUCGGCGGUUGGGGAUGGACUCGCGGCUUAUCAGCUUGUUGGUGGGGUAGUGGCUUACCAAGGCUUUGACGGGUAGCCGGCCUGAGAGGGUGACCGGCCACAUUGGGACUGAGAUACGGCCCAGACUCCUACGGGAGGCAGCAGUGGGGAAUAUUGCACAAUGGGCGGAAGCCUGAUGCAGCAACGCCGCGUGCGGGAUGACGGCCUUCGGGUUGUAAACCGCUUUCGCCUGUGACGAAGCGUGAGUGACGGUAAUGGGUAAAGAAGCACCGGCUAACUACGUG
rnacentral:rRNA from 1 species